GACAGAGGGUGCAAACGUUGUUCGGAAUUACUGGGCGUAAAGCGCGUGUAGGCGGCCAUCUAAGUCGGGCGUGAAAUCCCACGGCUCAACCGUGGAAGUGCACUCGAAACUGGAUGGCUAGAGUCCUGGAGAGGAAGGUGGAAUGCUUGGUGUAGAGGUGAAAUUCGUAGAUAUCAAGCGGAACACCGGUGGCGAAGGCGGCCUUCUGGACCGAGACUGACGCUGAGGAGCGAAAGCGUGGGUAGCAAACAGG
rnacentral:rRNA from 1 species